GACGAACCGUCCAAACGUUAUUCGGAAUUACUGGGCUUAAAGGGUGCGUAGGCGGCGCGGAAAGUUGGGUGUGAAAUCCCUCGGCUCAACCGAGGAACUGCGCCCAAUACUACCGUGCUUGAGGGAGAUAGAGGUGAGCGGAACUUAGGGUGGAGCGGUGAAAUGCGUUGAUAUCCUAAGGAACACCGGUGGCGAAAGCGGCUCACUGGAUCUCUUCUGACGCUGAGGCACGAAAGCUAGGUAGCGAACGGG
rnacentral:rRNA from 1 species